AAAAACAUUUCUUAAAAAUUUAUUUUAAGUAAAAUCUGCUCAAUGUAAAAUAAAUAGCCGCAGUAUAUUCACUGUGCUAAGGUAGCAUAAUCAUUAGCCUUUUAAUUAAAGGCUGGAAUGAAAGAUUUUACAUUUUAAUUACUUUUUUAAAAAAAAUUUAUUAAACUUAAAUUAAGAAUAAAAAUGUUCUUAUUAGUAAAAAAGACGAUAAGACCCUAAUGAACUUUACUAAAGUUCAGCUGGGGAAGCUAAUUAAAAACAAUUUUAAUUUCAUUAAAUAAAUAUCCAAUAAAAUUGAAUUUAACAAGUUACCAUAGGGAUAACAGCGUAAUAUUUAUUAAAAGUUCUUAUUUAAAUAAAAGUUUGCGACCUCGAUGUUGAAUU
rnacentral:rRNA from 1 species